CACCAUCAUAUUAGGUAGUUGUA
rnacentral:siRNA from 1 species